rnacentral:lncRNA from 1 species
UCGUUACCUAUCAUACCCGAGUUUGAUUUUUUUUCUUGUUUUUCCAUUUUAUCCCUGCUACCCUUCUACCCUCCCUUAUUCUCCAGCUCUCCACCUAUAACUCCAAACUAGUGACCCCACAACCCCAAACAGAACCCUCUGUAGCAUUCAUUUCCUCACGGAAAACCUCCUUUGUCGCAUGCGAGGUACCACCAUCGUUUUUCCUCUUCUCUUUCUUCCUUACUCCCUUCUUUGCCAAAUACUAUAUGUGAUUUCAAAGAGUCGUUGUUGUAGCGAAGACAAACAACAACACUUGUUGCGCGUCCAAGAGUCGUUGUAGUUAGAUCUGUGAGGCAACAAAACCCUUAACAAACAACAAUAACUGUUGCACGUCGAAGAGGCUCCAAUAACUUUGACGGCAAGCGAAGACGAAGCAUCGAUUUGCGAUUGUUCUACUGUAGCAUAAGCAUUUUGUUAUUGGCAUUUAUUAUCA